CUGCACAACUGAACAACUUCUUGUGUUUAAAGGAAGGAAGAAUUCUGCUCUCCCUCAGAACGUUUUUAAGGAGCUAAAGCUGAGGUCAAUGACUUUUAGCUUAUGAUUAGCUCCUCCUCGAUCCCUUAAUAUCUUAAAAAGCAGUAUGUGCAGUGUUCCUGCAGUUUGGCUACACACUGAGUAAAAAUGAGGACAGCAAUACUGCUUUCUAUCUUGUGCACUACUUUAGUAUUGCCAGCAUUUGCAGAGCAGGAAGAAAACAUG